UCGUUGACUUCCCAAUGGGGCAGGAUCUAACCCCAAAACCAUCUGAACUGCCGUGAGGCAGUCAGAUUCUAUAGUAGAUACGCGUGCCCCUCUUUUCUUUUUCCCACUUCGCAGCAAACUCCAGAGCCUCACAAAUUGCCAGGGUUUCUGCGUGGAAAGCUGAUUGGAGUUUCACCGCUCGAGCGAAGCCACCAAGCAGUACACCGCGGGCGUCCCUGCAUACUUCAGCCACAGAUCCGUCGUUUGUUGCAGCUUUGAAAGCUCCGUCAACGUUUAUCUUCACCCAUCCUAGAUCCGGCGGUCUCCAUUUCACAGGUAUGUCUUUUGCUGUCCUGGUGUGUCGCUUCUGCAGUGGGAUCUGAUCUUUGAAGUUUUCUUCAUCGCAAGCAUAUCGGCUACAACUCCCUGCGGAUCUGGCGUUUUUGCUCGAAAUACAGCGUCAUUCCUCUCUUUCCUGAUGAAACAGAGAGCUUCGCUAACUAUUUCGGGUUCGGGGGCUUGAGGAAGGCGCAGAGCAGGAACAAGUGUUCUGCUGUUUCUGGAGUCACUUUACAUAGGGAGCACAUGGGCUUAGUCUCGUCAUAAGUCUCUCUACACUUUUCAUCUUCCGAACAAAUCUGCGGCUUCAUGUGUAUUGAUAUUUUAGCAGACCACAAUAGAAGAGGCGAGAAGGCAUUCCUGUUUUUUUAGGGGCAUUCUAGUUAGGGCUUGAAAGCUGAACUCAGUGGCAGAGUCAUAGGCCGAAAUGCAUCAUCGCAUUAAGAGGAGGAAAACUAAUGCGAGUGGAAAUGCAGAGGAUGUUGAUACCGGUGCAUCUGGUUUGAUGACUGUGCUGACAGAAACUAAUUUCGUUGGAUCUAGUUCGUCUUCGACAGAAAUUAACACUAAUGCAUCUAGUUCUUUGAUGGUGUCGAUUGGAAACUGCUACGAGGUGUUCUUGAGUUUCAGAGGCCCAGAUACUCGACAUAGCUUCACCGAUCACCUCUACCAUGGGCUCUUCAAAGCUGGAAUUCACACUUUCAGAGAUGAUGAUGAGCUUUGCCAAGGCGAGGACAUCAGACCAGAGCUUAUGGCAGCCAUCACGAAUAGUAAGAUCCUCGUCCCCAUUUUCUCUGUGAAUUAUGGUACAAGCAGUUGGUGCCUGGAUGAACUGGUUCAAAUAAUGGAGCGCAAGAAUAAUAAUGGGCAGAUAGUGGUGCCUAUAUUCUAUAAAGUGAAACCAGCUGAAGUGCGAUAUCAAACCGGGAGGUUUGGAGAUGCAUUUCAUGAGCAUGAGAGUCAUUUGCGUGAAAGGUCUUCUUUUGACCCAACGACUUUGGAGAAAUGGAAGCAAGCACUCCUUGAAGUCAGCAACUUGAAAGGAUACGAAGCCGAUGGGGCAAUUGUACGUGAGGAAAACCAGCAACGGCCUUGGCACCGUAGCAGGUUAUGGGACUCCGAGGAAGCCUUGAAAAUGCUCAAGAGAAAUGAGGGAACGGACAAGAUUGAGGUCAUUGAUUUGAGUAAAGGCAACUCCGAAGGCUCCGGCAAAGUAGCCAAGCAAGAUGGUGACGUUUACACAGCAAAACAAUUCAAAAAAUUGACAAAUCUAAGAUUCCUUUACAUGAAAGGGGCACAUCUCAGUGGAGAUUUUGAGGGCUCAAUGGAGGAGUUAAAAUGGCUUCGAUGGCAAAAAUGUCCUAGGAAUUUUGAAGUAAACAAUUUUCACGUGGAGGAAUUGGUUGUACUCGAAUUGCCAUAUAGCAAGAUAAAUGAGAAAUGGGAAGGAUGGAGUUUUUUCAUGAUGGCAGAGAAGCUCAAAUAUCUCGACCUUUCAUAUUGUGAAUCCCUGGAAGAUACAGACUUCCUCUUAGCUUUUAAGAAGUUGGAGGUUCUCAUCCUCAAUUGGUGUAAGAGACUGAAGCGAAUCGACGCUUCAAUUGGAGACAUGGAGGCCCUCCUUCGCUUGGAGCUGGGUGCGUGUUUCCACCUUAGGGAGCUUCCAGAAAAAAUAGGUAAAUUAAAAGCGCUGCAGCAACUCGAUCUACGGCAUACUACAUCCCUUUCUGCAUUACCAAAUAGCAUAGGGUCUUUGGAGAAUCUAGAGAUUCUAGAUAUUUCUUACAGUGGCAUAGAAGAAUUGCCCAAUGGUAUUGGGAGUCUAAGAAAGCUUCGAGAGUUACAUGUUUACGGUUGCAGAAAUCUGAAAGGGAUAAUGGUAGAAAGCAUGUGUAAUCUUUCUUCCCUAUGACUCCUUGAUUUUACAGACUGCACCAAGCUCUAAUCAUUGCCGGACCUUCCUUCCGGCUUAACACGUUUGGGCGUCACCUGUACAAGUCGUAAAUUGCCUUUGCUUUCCCACCUAGCCUAUCUCAAGGAACUACGACUUCGGGAUUGCGGAUUUCUCCGGUGCAUCCAGGAGCUUCCAUCAACGCAAUUAAAGUGUUCAUAAUGCUCCCAACCAACGGACAUUGAAGAAGUGGAAUCACCACAAUCCCUAAACACGCCCUUCAGGUUGGAAUUCUUGGAAGUCUGGAGCUGUGGAUCUAUCAAAAUGCUGGACGUUUCACAGUUUGUCCAUCUAAGGACAUUAGAUGCCUACGAUUGCGAGAAUCUACUUGAAGUUCGAGUUCUUGACAAAUUGAUAUAUUUGGAAAGCUUGACUAUUGCAUCCUUUGAUUCAAUCAAAUGGUUGGACCUUCCAAAAUUCGAGGGUCUGAAGAAAUUGCAUGUUGAGAGCUGCGACAAAUUAGCCGAAAUUCAAGGCCUUGAUAGGUUGGAGUACCUAGAAGGGCUAGAUUUCAAAGAGUGCACUUUAAUGGAAAGGCUAUACCUUCCAAAAUUCGGGAGGCUAAAGGAAUUAUAUGCUGGAUGUUGCAAAAACUUAGCCAAAAUUCAAGGGCUCAAUAGUUUGGAGUAUUUGGAAAAACUAUCUAUCUAGUGCACUUCAAUUUGAAGGCUAGACCUUCCAAAAUCUUGAAGUAUGAAGAGAUUAUGUGCUACUUCGUGCAAGAAAUUAGCUGAAAUUCAAGGCCUCGACAUGUUGGAGUCCUUGGAAAUGCUGCAUAUCUCUAUGUGCACUUAAACUCAAAAGGCUACUUCUUCCAAAAUCUGGGAGUCUGGAGAUAUUAGAAGCUAGAGACUGCAUAAACUUGGUUGAAAUUCAGGGCCUCGAAUAGGUUGGAGUUUUUGGAAGAAUUGAAUAUCUUUGGAUGCAAGUCGCUCAAAACAAUUCCGGAAUUAUCUGGAAUGCGGAUUUAUCGAUAUUAUCAGAUUACAUAUGGCACAUAUGGAGGAACAUGUCCAUCCUUAUGGACGACUCGGAUGAGGAAUAGACCGGAAGGAUCCACAUUUUCUAUUGAAGGAUUUGAUUAUCAUUCCACCGGUUGAUGUUAAUGCUGAAAUAUCCAAGAGAGCUUUCACAAGGCUAUUCUAAAAGGAGUCGAAAUCAUAGAAGGAUCAGGAGUUUGAUGUUUCUUGAACUUCUCCGAACCUUGACAAUGCAUCCUUGGAAUGAUAAAAGGUUGUUUGCAUGUUGUCAAGCCACGUUUCCUCUGGGCUCUUUGAGCUCUAUCCUUCACAAGCCCUCUUUUUGCUCGUAUCCUUGUGAUUUGUUCCAGCACUAGUGCUGUGUUUUCGGUUGCUCACAGAGCUUUAGCUAUGGAAACUAGCAAAAGGACCACUGUGCGUCAUGCUUCUGUUUCAACUUCAGUUCGAAAAACCACUAGCUUCUCAAGUUCGGCUCCCAGCGUUCUUUUGCGACCUAAUGGGCGGUCAACUCAACUAUUCCGACUCGGUUUUGUGAAGUUUGCUUGAUUUUUAUUGGCAGGUAAAGAUAGUGGAGUGGAAACUAGAGAAGUGUUUGCUGGCGAUGGUCAUAGAGGACUCGAAGUUGGUGCUUCGUUGCUUCUAUUGGCAAAGUUUGUGAACAGUCUCCUUGUCUUCGAAGCAAGAAAGUUGGUUAGCUUAGUAUUCCUUGGAUACUGCGUGGUAUGGACAGCUUAGUAUUUCCUUCAUGUACUCUAGCAACUAUUUUGGUAGGCCUUCAUUGGGUUGUGCUAUUCAUUUAUGUGCCAAAGAAUUCUAAUACUGUGGUGUGAUGGAACUUUGUCAUGCUUUAAAUGUCAGAAUGAUAUGUUGUCAAGCCUAGUAUUGUUUUCAUCCGCUCUAGCACUGAAUUAGUUGCUAAAUUGAUGAUGUGCAAUUGUAAAUGA